CCUACGGGUGGCAGCAGUAGGGAAUCUUCCGCAAUGGACGAAAGUCUGACGGAGCAACGCCGCGUGAGUGCAGAAGGCCUUCGGGUUGUAAAGCUCUGUUGCCAGGGACGAAGAGCGGACAGAGGGAAUGAUGUCCGUGUGACGGUACCUGAGAAGAAAGCCCCGGCUAACUACGUGCCAGCAGCCGCGGUAAUACGUAGGGGGCAAGCGUUGUCCGGAAUUAUUGGGCGUAAAGCGCGCGCAGGCGGCGGCUUAAGUCCGGCGUGAAAAGGAGGGGCUCAACCCUUUCUGGCGCCGGAAACUGGGCGGCUGGAGUACAGAAGAGGAGAGUGGAAUUCCACGUGUAGCGGUGAAAUGCGUAGAGAUGUGGAGGAACACCAGUGGCGAAGGCGACUCUCUGGUCUGUAACUGACGCUGAGGCGCGAAAGCGUGGGGAGCAAACAGGAUUAGAUACCCUAGUAGUC
rnacentral:rRNA from 1 species